GCCUUCAACUGUUGCUCUCACGGUCCUCAGUCCUAGAGGUCUUCAUUGAAGCCAACCAAGCGUGUAACACUUCAAAAGAAAUGUUGCCACAAGAUAUUUAACACUGCAAAUCCUCUCUCUGGGCACAGCUUCUGUCUUUCCACUGCACUCCAAGUCUGCAGUGCCCAGUAAUAAAAACAGCAGGGGCUUUGGAGCACAGUACGUAUAUGGGGCCCUGGGCAGAGCCUCUGAUUUCUUCUCAGUACGGAGAGGGUAAUAGCACACACCUGGAUGAGCGUGGAUGAGAGAAUGAAAGAGAGGAUGGUUGAGAAACACCCAGGGUCUCAGAAAGAACAUGUGAGUUCCUUCCUUUUCUGCUUGUGGUGGCCACUUAGUUGAGUCCUCGAAAUUAUUCCACUCUAGAUGAUGUCAGUCGUGAGAAUUCUUGCCUUCUGCUGUGUCUGGUUUAAGCAUGGGUACUCUUUGAAGGUGACCUCUGUAAUUCCUGCAGCCGGAGGAUGAAGCCAAUACACAUCAUGAAGCGCAGCACCCCUGGGUUGUAAGAGAGCCCUCUCAGCUCUCCUCUGGUGAUACCCUAACCCCUGGACUUCUGGUCAUGUGUAGGCCCUGGUCUCCUUAGACAAGCUUUGCUUCAUAUGAAGAGCCACACAAAUCUAAAUUAAGAAAGAAACAAAGAAUAAAGAUUAAAGGUUCAGGUUUUAAAUCAGCCAGACUCUAGUUUGAAGAUGAGCUGUGCCACUUAAUAAG
ensembl:lncRNA